rnacentral:rRNA from 1 species
UACGUAGGGGGCAAGCGUUGUCCGGAUUUAUUGGGCGUAAAGAGCGUGUAGGCGGCUUUGCAAGUCCGUUGUGAAAACUCGAGGCUCAACCUCGAGACGCCGGUGGAAACUGCAAAGCUAGAGUCCGGAAGAGGAGAGUGGAAUUCCUGGUGUAGCGGUGAAAUGCGUAGAUAUCUGGAGGAAUACCGGUGGCGAAGGCGGCAUCCUGGACCGACAUUGACGCUGAGGAGCGAAAGCCAGGGGAGCAAACGGG